rnacentral:rRNA from 1 species
GACGAACGCUGGCGGCGUGCUUAACACAUGCAAGUCGAGCGGAAAGGCCCUUUCGGGAGUACUCGAGCGGCGAACGGGGUGAGUAACACGUGAGUAAUCUGCCCUUGGCUUUGGGAUAACCACCGGAAACGGUGGCUAAUACCCGGAUAUGACGGGCUCCGGCAUCGGGGUUCGUGGAAAGUUUUUUCGGCCAGGGAUGUGCUCGCGGCCUAUCAGCUUGUUGGUGGGGUAAUGGCCUACCAAGGCUUCGACGGGUAGCCGGCCUGAGAGGGUGACCGGCCACACUGGGACUGAGACACGGCCCAGACUCCUACGGGAGGCAGCAGUGGGAAUAUUGGACAAUGGGCGGAAGCCCUGAUCCAGCAACGCCGCGUGAGGGAUGACGGCC